rnacentral:ncRNA from 12 species
AUCGUUAGAGGUGGUAAAUUUCGUUGCAACCACGCACCCUAUGGGUUAAAAGAGAUGCAAGAGAUGUGACGCUUGCCUAACGGU